rnacentral:rRNA from 1 species
UACGUAGGGUGCAAGCGUUAAUCGGAAUUACUGGGCGUAAAGCGUGCGCAGGCGGCUUUGCAAGGCAGAUGUGAAAUCCCCGGGCUUAACCUGGGAACUGCAUUUGUGACUGCAUGGCUGGAGUGCGGCAGAGGGGGAUGGAAUUCCGCGUGUAGCAGUGAAAUGCGUAGAUAUGCGGAGGAACACCGAUGGCGAAGGCAAUCCCCUGGGCCUGCACUGACGCUC